rnacentral:rRNA from 1 species
GACGAACGCUGGCGGCGCGCUUAACACACGCAAGUCGAGCGAGAUCCAGGCCUUCGGGCCUGGGGACAGCGGCGAACGGGUGAGUAACACGUGGGUAAUCAACCCUCGACACUGGGAUAGCCCGGGGAAACCCGGAUUAAUACCGGAUGGCCCUUUGAAUCUUCGGAUCUGACGGGAAAGGUAGCUUCGGCCUCCGGUCGAGGACGAGCCGGCGGCGGAUUAGCUUGUUGGUGGGGUAACGGCUCACCAAGGCGACGAUCCGUAGCUGGUCUGAGAGGACGAUCAGCCACACUGGGACUGAGACACGGCCCAGACUCCUACGGGAGGCAGCAGUGGGGAAUCUUGCGCUAAUGCGGGCAACCGUGACGCAGCGACGCCGCGUGAGGGAAGAAGGCCUUCGGGUUGUAAACCUCUUUCAGGAGGGACGAAGCCACUCGGGUGAAUAGCCCAGAGGGUGACGGUACCUCCAGAAGAAGCCCCGGCUAACUACGUGCCAGCAGCCGCCGUAACAC